rnacentral:rRNA from 1 species
GAUGAACGCUAGCUACAGGCUUAACACAUGCAAGUCGAGGGACGGGCGGAAGGGUGAGUAACAAGGAUCCAAACUGCCCUUUCCUUGGGGAUAAAGUUUCGGAAGAAAGAUUAAUACCCGAUAUAAAGGAUGGGGAUGCGUUCGAUUAGGUUGGUGGUGAGGUAACGGCUCACCAAGCAGUCGAUGGAUAGGGGUUCGGCGAGGAAGGUCCCCCAGACUGGAACGGAGACACGGUCCAAACUCCUACGGAAGGCAGGAGUGAGUGAGAUUGGUCAAUGGGUGCUAGCCUGAACCAGCCAAGUAGCGUGAAGGAUGAAGGCUUAUGGGUCGUAAACUUCUUUUAUAGAAGAAGGUGUAUUUGAUGAAUAAGGAACGGCUAACUCCGUGCCAGCAGCCGCGGUAAUUC